UACGUAGGGUGCAAGCGUUAAUCGGAAUUACUGGGCGUAAAGCGUGCGUAGGCGGUUGUUUAAGUUUGGUGUGAAAUCUCCCGGCUCAACUGGGAGGGUGCGCCGAAUACUGAAUGACUAGAGUGCGGGAGAGGAGAGUGGAAUUCCUGGUGUAGCGGUGAAAUGCGUAGAUAUCAGGAGGAACACCGGUGGUGUAGACGGCUCUCUGGACCGUAACUGACGCUGAGGCACGAAAGCGUGGGUAGCAAACAGG
rnacentral:rRNA from 1 species